CUCUUCUGCCCCCAUGCAAACUCUUCCUAUCUCUCCUGCCCAUCCAAAUCCCCUCCCCAUGCCUACUGCCCCCUUUCCUCCUGCCCUUCAGAAUCCCCUCCUCAUGUCUUCUGUCCCCUUUCCUCCUGCCCCUACAAGGCCUCCCGGGGUGUCUUCCACCCUAACCCAUCCUUCCCCCAACCCUCCUCCCUCCCUCCCCAGAAAGCGGAAGCGCGAGGAAGACAGCACCACUUCCACCGCCCCCCAGAAGACCCAGCCGAGGGACAGCACAUCGGGGAAGAGGAAGGCUAAAGUCAAGUGGUUGGCUCCAUCAUCUUUCCACUUUGGUUUAUCAAAACAGGCAUGCUCAGCUCCUCCAGCUGUUCCAGCCUCCGGGGAGGAGCCAAUGGACU